rnacentral:ncRNA from 2 species
GGGAGCCGGAUGAGCUGAGAGGUUCACGUCCGGUUCUGAGAGGGGCUACUGGGGAGGUUCCAGUGGCCUACUUGCCUUGUAUGCUGUUUUCAAUAUAAGAGCGAAGCUUACUCGGAAGUUUCCUUGUUUACUCUUAC